rnacentral:rRNA from 1 species
UACGAAGGGGGCUAGCGUUGUUCGGAAUUACUGGGCGUAAAGCGCGCGCAGGCGGCUAUCCAAGUCAGUGGUGAAAGCCCGGAGCUCAGCUCCGGAACUGCCAUUGAAACUGUUUAGCUUGAGGACGAGAGAGGUGAGUGGAAUUCCCAGUGUAGAGGUGAAAUUCGUAGAUAUUGGGAAGAACACCGGUGGCGAAGGCGGCUCACUGGCUCGUUUCUGACGCUCAGGCGCGAUAGCGUGGGGAUCAAACAGG